UACGUAGGUGGCAAGCGUUGUCCGGAUUUACUGGGCGUAAAGAGCGCGCAGGCGGUCGAUUUAGUCGCGUGUGAAAGCCCCCGGCUCAACUGGGGAGGGUCACGCGAUACUGAUCGACUCGAAGGCAGGAGAGGGUAGUGGAAUUCCACGUGUAGCAGUGAAAUGCGUAGAGAUGUGGAGGAAUACCGAUGGCGAAGGCAGCCCCCUGGGAUAACACUGACGCUCAUGCACGAAAGCGUGGGGAGCAAACAGG
rnacentral:rRNA from 1 species